rnacentral:rRNA from 1 species
UCUGCUGACGACCGGCGCACGGGUGCGUAACGCGUAUGCAAUCUACCUCUUACUGAGGGAUAGCCCAUGGAAACGUGGAUUAAUACCUCAUAGUAUUAUAAACUGGCCUCAGUUUAUGAUUAAAGGUUACGGUAAGAGAUGAGCAUGCGUCCUAUUAGCUAGAUGGUAAGGUAACGGCUUACCAUGGCUACGAUAGGUAGGGGUCCUGAGAGGGAGAUCCCCCACACUGGUACUGAGACACGGACCAGACUCCUACGGGAGGCAGCAGUGAGGAAUAUUGGACAAUGGGCGAGAGCCUGAUCCAGCCAUGCCGCGUGCAGGAAGACGGCCCUAUGGGUUGUAAACUGCUUUUACAGAGGAAGAACCCUCCUUACGUGUAAGGAGCUGACGGUACUCUAUGAAUAAGGAUCGGCUAACUCCGUGCCAGCAGCCGCGGUAAUACGGAGGAUCCAAGCGUUAUCCGGAAUCAUUGGGUUUAAAGGGUCCGUAGGCGGGUCUAUAAGUCAGUGGUGAAAGUCUGCAGCUUAACUGUAGAACUGCCAUUGAUACUGUAGACCUUGAAUUAGUAUGAAGUG